rnacentral:rRNA from 1 species
GACGAACGCUGGCGGCGUGCUUAACACAUGCAAGUCGAGCGGUAAGGCCUGCCUUUGGUGGGUACACGAGCGGCGAACGGGUGAGUAACACGUGGGUGACCUGCCCUCAGCUCUGGGAUAAGCCUGGGGAACUGGGUCUAAUACCGGAUGUGACUGUGCCUCGCAUGGGGUGUGGUGGAAAGUCCUGGGCUUUGUUGUCUGGGUUCGGCUGGGGAUGGGCCCGCGGCCUAUCAGUGUUGGUGGGGUGAUGGCCUACCAAGGCGACGACGGGUAGCCGGCCUGAGAGGGCGUCCGGCCACACUGGGACUGAGACACGGCCCAGACUCCUACGGGAGGCAGCAGUGGGGAAUAUUGCGCAAUGGGCGGAAGCCUGACGCAGCGACGCCGCGUGGGGGAUGACGGCCU